rnacentral:rRNA from 1 species
AGUGAACGCUGGCGGUAGGCCUAACACAUGCAAGUCGAACGGCAGCACAGUAAGAGCUUGCUCUUACGGGUGGCGAGUGGCGGACGGGUGAGGAAUACAUCGGAAUCUACUUUUUCGUGGGGGAUAACGUAGGGAAACUUACGCUAAUACCGCAUACGACCUACGGGUGAAAGCAGGGGAUCUUCGGACCUUGCGCGAUUGAAUGAGCCGAUGUCGGAUUAGCUAGUUGGCGGGGUAAAGGCCCACCAAGGCGACGAUCCGUAGCUGGUCUGAGAGGAUGAUCAGCCACACUGGAACUGAGACACGGUCCAGACUCCUACGGGAAGCAGCAGUGGGGAAUAUUAGACAAUGGGCGCAAGCCUGAUCCAGCCAUACCGCGUGGGUGAAGAAGGACUUCGGGUUGUAAAGCCCUUUUGUUGGGAGAGAAAAGCAGCAGGUUAAUACCCCGCUGUUCUGACGGUACCCAAAGAAUAAGCACCGGCUAACUUCGUG